rnacentral:rRNA from 1 species
GAUGAACGCUAGCGAUAGGCUUAACACAUGCAAGUCGAGGGGCAGCAUGGUCUUAGCUUGCUAAGACUGAUGGCGACCGGCGCACGGGUGCGUAACGCGUAUGCAACUUGCCUCACAGCGGGGGAUAACCCGUCGAAAGACGGACUAAUACCGCGUACACUCCAUCUUGGGCAUCCAAGGUAGAGGAAAUGAAAUUCGCUGUGAGAUAGGCAUGCGUCCCAUUAGCUAGUUGGUGAGGUAACGGCUCACCAAGGCGACGAUGGGUAGGGGAACUGAGAGGUUGAACCCCCACACUGGUACUGAGACACGGACCAGACUACUACGGGAGGCAGCAGUGAGGAAUAUUGGUCAAUGGGCGAGAGCCUGAACCAGCCAAGUCGCGUGAAGGAUGACUGUCUUAUGGAUUGUAAACUUCUUUUAUACGGGAAUAACAAGAGUCACGUGUGACUCCCUGCAUGUACCGUAUGAAUAAGCAUCGGCUAACUCCGUG